GCUUCCUGACUUGGGGUCCACAGAGUGGAGAGCGCAGCAGGCUUUUCGGCGGGCAGAGUUUUGGGGUCAUUCAGCGGACGAUCGGUGUCUCUGUACCCUCUGCCAGAGGAGGCGCGGGACGGGCCCGAGUGUUUCCGGGUCGCUCGGCGACCUUGGCCCGCAGCCGGAAGGUGCUUCUUGCUUUGGGCGCGCGUGUCUACACCUGGCGGGGCCGCAGAGCCCUGGGAACCCGGGCGGUUCGGAAAGCUGGGGAUGGCCCGGACUAUGGAACCACUGGCAAAGAAGAUCUUUAAAGGAGUUUUAGUAGCUGAACUUGUGGGCAUUUUUGGAGCAUAUUUUUUGUUUAAAAAGAUGAACACAAGCCAAGAUUUCAGGCAAACAAUGAGCAAGAAGUUUCCCUUCAUCUUGGAAGUUUAUUACAAAUCCAUUGAACAGUCUGGGAUGUACGGAAUCAGAGAGCAAGAUCAAGAAAAAUGGCUGAACAGCAAAAAUUAAGUAUUUACCUGGAAUGCCCUCGUUUUCAUCCUCCAACACAUCCAUGAAUGUUCCUCCAUCUUCCUCAAGUUCAGCAAAUUCUUCAUUCAUACUUCCUAAAGAAACUUCAUCAUCAUCCAAGUUAUCAAGGUCAUCGUCUUCUGAAUCUUCGUCUUCCGAGUCAUCCUUAGCUCCUUUUGCCUUCUUCUUCUUCAUGUUGCUGCAGAAAACAAAUUGUAAUGUAUAAGAGGACUUUGUUUUUUAAAGUAUGUUUUGGUGACCAUUAAGGUACUAGGCUAUUAGAAUUCCAAGGAGAGUUGCAGAUGGCUCAGAGCCUUUACUUAAUACUAAUGAGCAUUACAAAGGUCUAAAAUGAAAGGACUGGAGUUCCCUGGUGUGGCUCAGCAGUAACAAACCCAACUAAUAUCCAUGAGGAUGCAGGUUCAAUCCCUGGCCUCCCUCAGUUGGUUAAAGAUCCCACAUUGCUGUGAGUUGUGGGGUUGGUCGCAGACGAAGCUUGGAUCUGGCCCUGCUAUGGCUGUGGUAUAGGCCAGCAGCUGCAGUGCAGUUCCAAUUUAACCCAUAACCUGGGAACUUCAAUAUGCUGCAAAUGCAGCCCUAAAAAGACAACAAAGAAAGAAAGAAAAAGGAAAGGACAGUAUCCAGUACCCAAACUUAUUUCAGUACCUUUCUCCUAGACAACCUAGUCCUGUGCUCUACUGUUCUGAGCAACAAUUAUUUUGGAAAUGCUGGGAAAACAGUUUAAAAAAAAAAAUGAAGAAAAGUAUUUUACCUGGCAAAAUCGAGGUCAUCCUUUCCCGAGAUGAAACAAUUAUCAUCUUCAAAUGUGUCUGCCAGAGAAUAUACAAAUCAUGAGAUACAGCAAAGGAAUAGCAAAGUUAACAGGUUUUAUAUCUGAAUCAAUUAAUACAUCAUCAUGAUUCUGCUAUUUACAACAUCAAAAUGGUAACAGCUGACUAUUGCUGGUGUGUUUUAUUAAUCUACAUUAAAUCUCUGAAUAUACUGACCUUAAUUCAGUCCCUAAACUAAAUGGGUUCCAGUUAAUUUUAUAUAUAUUUACACACAUAUAUAUAAUUUUUUUAGGGCUGCACCUAUGGCAUAUGAAGGUUCCCAGGCUAGGGGUCGAAUCGGAGCUGUAGCUGCCGGCCUAAGCCACAGCCACUCAGGAUCCGAGCAGCGUCUGCAACCUACACCACAGCUCACGGCAACACUGGAUGCUUAACCCACUGAGAGGCCAGAGAUCGAACCCACAACCUCAUGGUUCCUAGUCGGAUUUGUUUCCAUUGAGCCAUGACAGGAACUCCAUUUCCAGUUAAUUAUAGCUUUUCUAUAGUUCUUUUAUGGAAAGAGGGAAAAUAUCAAAUUAAACAGUAUUUAGCAGUCCCCUUUACUCCAUUAGAACUAUUUACAUGCCUUAUUUUUAGUAGGUGUAAUAUAAUAUGCAACAAAAAUGAACUCAAUGUAAGCUUUUUCUAAUUACCCAUGGGUUUUUUUGUUUGUUUUGGCCUAAAUUCCAAUAAAAUGUUUCUAGCUCUGCGAAUUAUAAAUUACCAAUCAUCCUUUCAAAUUCCUCAUCAUCCACAUCUUCUAUACUUUCUUCAUCUUCAUUCCUUUUUUGCUUCUCUUUAGCAACUUUUUUAUAAUACCUAAAAUAAAAAGGCAUGUUACAUAUUUGAUAAUUUAAGGACCCAGUUUUUUAUAAUCAAAGCACCUAUGACCAGCGCCACAAACAAGUGUUAAAGCUGUUAACUCAGUUGACUAUAAAUAAUUAAAAUUUCUAUUAUAGAAAAUAAUUUUGAAUCCAACGAAAUAGUUGAAACUUUUGAAAUUAGGCUUGGUUCUUCAUAAUAACAUCUUAACUCCUUAAAUGGCACAGUAAAAGGCAUCAACACUAAUGAAUGACAGGAAUAUUUGAAUAUUAUAAACAGUGGCUCUAAAUGACCUCUAAUCACAGUAGUUUAUCAGUUAGAUCUAUACUUAUAUCAGGGUACAGUGAAUACCCUCGCAUUUUGCAGAUGCGAUCAUACCCUCAAAAUUCUUCCAACAAAAUGUUUUAAAAAAGCAAACCAGGAGUUCCCAUUAUGGCUCAGAGGUUAAUGAACCCAACUAGCAUCCACGAGGACGGGGAUCAAGGAUCCCGAGUUGCUGUGAGCUGUGGAGUAGGUUGCAGAUAGAGCAUGGAUCCCAUGUGGAUGUGGCAUAGGCCAGCGACUAAAGCUGGGAUUGGACCCCUAGCCUGGGAACCUCCAUAUGCCUUGGGUGCAGCCCUAAAAAGACAACAACAAAAAUAAAUAAAUAAAAAAGCAAACCAAAUCAAAUUAACCAAUCAACAGAUGAGAUAACAGUUUCUUUAUUAUCACAAGGCAUUAGUAGUAACAUUAGCAGGUUUAGGACUUAUCUCUGUAGUAGUGCAAUGAAUUCUGCUAGUUCUGCCUAGAGCCAUUUUGGGGCAAAUUACUUAGUCAAGAUUCUUAAAAUUUAUGCUAAAUUAUUAAAAACAAGCCCCUCAAAUUUACUUUAGUUUCACUUGGAUAUCUUAAUAUUAGCAAACUGCCAUUUCUAAAUUCCCCUCACAAAAAUGGUACUGACAUAUCGCUUCAGUCUUUUCAAGACAGGCCCAUUUUAACACAGCUGUUUUUGGAAUCUGAAAAUUUAAAUUUCCCCAGUGAAACAGGAUUAAAUAUAUUACCUAUAGAAAAACACUUCAUCCACUGGUAUUUGGCUUUCUUCUUUUGCAAGGAAUUCCUUACUGUUAACUAGGAAAACAAGUUAAAAAUUUAUUAAAGUAAUCCUUUUAUGUUACUCAAGCUCUUAAGACUAAAUACAGAAUUUCUACAGCUCUGAAGUCUCAAAAUGUCAUGAAGUUGGACAGAAGGCAUCUAAUUGUGCAAAGGACAAUGUCUCGAGGUCUAGAGGAAACCCAACAUAUGAAACUGUUGGCUACAAUCCAGUUGGUAGCCAUUUAGUGCAUCAUAGUGAAAGAAUAGGGUUCUCUUAUCCAGUUGCAUCCAGGAUCUAAAUUCCAAGAGAAACAAAAAUUCUCUCUCUCUCUCUUUUUUUUUUUUGCCAUAUGCUCCUGUGGCAUAUGGAGAUUCCCAGGCUAGGGGUCGAAUCGGAGCUGUAGCCGCCGGCCUACGCCAGAGCCAUAGUAACACGGGAUCCGAGCCACGUCUGCAACCUACACCACAGCUCACGGCAAUGCCGGAUCAUUAACCCACUGAGCAAGGGCAGAGAUCGAACCCACAACCUCAUGGUUCCUAGUCGGAUUUGUUAACCACUGCACCACGACAGGAACUCCCAAGAAGUCUCUUAAUAAUCACUUUAGACUUGUCAUUUUCAUCUUGGGAAAAAUGACAAUAAUGCCUGGUAUGCUGGAAAGAAAGUAAAGGUAAACAGAAGUAGCUACAAUUUUACUUAACACUAAGGAAAACUAAAGUAAGAAUAAGGAACUGAAUCUAUAAGAAUAUUAGUGUUUCCUCCUCAGAAUAAACAUUUCGGACUCAUCUUGAUUAAAAGGGUACUUGGCUUCUAAUUUUAAUUCUACUAACUGUGGGUGAGUCCUUUUAUGUCUCUGGACUUCUGUGAUAUAAGUCAGUUAUAAAGUAAAUGACUUAUAAUGAACUUUAGAAUCUGAAGAAAAAGGAGCUGGGAUCUAGUAUGUGAAGGAAUGUCUGCUUUGAAUACAAAGAGAAUCAGAGCCACUUAGGUACCAAAUACCUGUAAAAGUAGGUUAUCAACUAAAUUUAAACUUGAAAAUGCAUACAUCCUUGAGAACAAAGAUGGACAAUCUCUCUGCUGCUUAGGUUUUAUUCUGAUAAAGUAGAGCAAAGAAUAACACAAUGUGUUACUAACUUGUUCAGCUGUCAGUUUCAACCAUCUAGGCUUUAUACUUACCAGCAAGACUACGAAUAUCCUUCAUAAAAUGUUUUCUUUUUGGCUGCAUCACAACACUUUCUGUGUUUUCUGAAAUGUAAAAUCAAGACAGUGUAAUGUAAAACCUCAUGUUGUUUAUUAAAUUUGAAUAGUGGAACAACUGAAAAAUUCAUCAAAUGGAAGCAUACCUUUGCCUUUAUGUGGCUUUGGGUUUCGGUAUACAAAUCGAUCCAAGAAUCUCAUUAGUGUGAAAUCCUGUAGUGGAUCCCCUGAAUAUUCAAUGUAAUUUCCCUGGGAGUUGCAGGGGGAGGGAGGGAAUUAAGAAUUUAACUCAAAUUAUAUAUAUGCCUCCCAAUAAGAAACAAGAAGAAAAACUAAAGCAGCUAUUACAUUGCUUUGAAAGUAUGAAAAUCAAUAAAAGAUCCUUCAAAUA